AUUUAUCGGAGAGUUUGAUCCUGGCUCAGGACGAACGCUGGCGGCGUGCCUAAUACAUGCAAGUCGAGCGGACAGAUGGGAGCUUGCUCCCUGAUGUUAGCGGCGGACGGGUGAGUAACACGUGGGUAACCUGCCUGUAAGACUGGGAUAACUCCGGGAAACCAGGGCUAAUACCGGAUGGUUGUUUGAACCGCAUGGUUCAAACAUAAAAGGUGGCUUCGGCUACCACUUACAGAUGGACCCGCGGCGCAUUAGCUAGUUGGUGAGGUAACGGCUCACCAAGGCGACGAUGCGUAGCCGACCUGAGAGGGUGAUCGGCCACACUGGGACUGAGACACGGCCCAGACUCCUACGGGAGGCAGCAGUAGGGAAUCUUCCGCAAUGGACGAAAGUCUGACGGAGCAACGCCGCGUGA
rnacentral:rRNA from 1 species